rnacentral:tRNA from 1 species
UGUAAAUUAGUGUAACAGCACAUUAGCCUUUGAAGCUAAAAGUAUAAUAUUAUUUACAU